rnacentral:tRNA from 1 species
UAAAGAAUAGUAUAAUGGAAGUACCGAGGGUUUUGAGUCCUUAAAUGUAGGUUCGAGUCCUAUUUCUUUAG